AUAUCGCUCCUUGAAUACAAAAGGGCCACAAUUAAAAAAAAAUGAAAAUCGUUUUAUUGCAAAAAUUACACCUGAACCGACUAUAUUUUAUAGUGAAAAAAAAACUCCCAUCAUUUUUGCUUAUAUUAUGGCUACACUGACUUACCGCCAUUUUUGCAUUAGCUCACUUUGACAGGUAAUGUCAGAGCUAAACCGCCAUUUUGUUAGUUGCGCCCGGAGAUUCAACGCUAACGCACGUCGGUUGCGUGAAAAAGUGCCACAAUCCAAAAUACGUCUGUGUUGGAUUCAAAAUUUCAGAUUGACAAAAUGAAUAGAGCACGAAAAAUGUUGAAUA